rnacentral:misc_RNA from 1 species
AACGCACCUUGCGCUCCUUGGUAUUCCGAGGAGCAUGCCUGUUUGAGUGUCAUUAAAUUCUCAACUAUACAAGUUUUUGAAACUUGUAUGGCUUGGAUCUUGGGAUUUGCGGGCUUUCACAAGUCGGCUAUCCUUAAAUGCAUUAGCAGAGCUUUUGCCGCUAACCUCUGGUGUGAUAAUUAUCUACGCCAUUGAGUUGCGACAUAUUGAGGCUUAGCUUCUAAUCGUCCGCACGGACAACAUUUGACAAUCUGACCUCAAAUCAGGUAGGACUACCCGCUGAACUUAA